rnacentral:piRNA from 1 species
UAGUGCCUGGCCCCGCUUACUGAUGCCACA